rnacentral:rRNA from 1 species
GAUGAACGCUGGCGGCGUGCUUAACACAUGCAAGUCGAACGGUGAACACGGAGCUUGCUCUGUGGGAUCAGUGGCGAACGGGUGAGUAACACGUGAGCAACCUGCCCCUGACUCUGGGAUAAGCGCUGGAAACGGCGGCUAAUACUGGAUAUGUGACGCGACCGCAUGGUCUGCGUUUGGAAAGAUUUUUCGGUUGGGGAUGGGCUCGCGGCCUAUCAGCUUGUUGGUGAGGUAAUGGCUUACCAAGGCGUCGACGGGUAGCCGGCCUGAGAGGGUGACCGGCCACACUGGGAUUGAGACACGGCCCAGACUCCUACGGGAGGCAGCAGUGGGGAAUAUUGCACAAUGGGCGAAAGCCUGAUGCAGCAACGCCGCGUGCGGGAUGACGGCCUUCGGGUUGUAAACCGCUUUUGGCAGGGACGAAGCGAAAGUGACGGUACCUGCAGAAAAAGCGCCGGCUAACUACGUG